UACGUAGGGUGCAAGCGUUGUCCGGAAUUAUUGGGCGUAAAGAGCUCGUAGGCGGUUUGUCGCGUCUGCUGUGAAAACCCGAGGCUCAACCUCGGGCCUGCAGUGGGUACGGGCAGACUAGAGUGCGGUAGGGGAGAUUGGAAUUCCUGGUGUAGCGGUGAAAUGCGCAGAUAUCAGGAGGAACACCGGUGGCGAAGGCGGGUCUCGUGGGCCGAUACUGACGCUGAGGAGCGAAGCGUGGGAGCA
rnacentral:rRNA from 1 species